UUGGGUUUCGCACCCCACUUUAUUAAAAACGGGAAUUUAAAUUCCGAUUUUAAUACGAAAAAAACGGAAAUUAAAAAACCGUUAUGUAUUUUAGCAUAUGUGGCACAUUUUCAACCGUUCAUUGCAUAUAAAAAACAAAUCGGAAUUUUAAAUUCCGUUUUGAAAACGGAAAUUAAAUUUCCGUAUUGAAUACAUGGGGUGCCAAACCCAAUAGGUGGGGUGUCAAACCCAAAUCCCGCAUAGUCCCACUCCCUCACCUUCAUUGAGAGCCGCUAGCUCUGCAAUUUUGCAUACGGUAUCAAGAAAUCCACCCUUCUCAAUUCUCAAAACCAACACAACACAUUCGUUUCUUCUCUGAAAAAGACUCCACCUUUGGCGUCAAACUCUUCAGGUUAGGCCAUGAAAAGAAGAAGGGACUCAAUUGGGUCUGCUAGGGUAGCAGUGGAAGUUGAUGAUGAGCCAGAAAGUCAGCAACUUGGGGCUUCUCUUGCUGAUCUUCCAACCCAUAUCACUACUGAUAUUCUGCUAAGACUUCCUGUGAAGUCUAUUCUCAUUUGUAAAUGUGUUUGUAGAAGUUUGAAAGCUAUGAUCUCAGACCCCCAUUUUGCAAAACUUCACUUUCAGCAUUCCCAAUCUGGUUUCAUGAUUCGUGCCAAGGAUAAGAAAUUGUCGGGAAUCAUGUACCUUCUUGAGCGCGAGACUGAAAAGUUUGAAAAUGAUGAUGAUGAUAGCCAAUUCUGUUGCUGUGAGAACUCUAUUAUGAGACCUGAAUGCAACUGUCACUUUAUACUUGAGCAUAAAGUCAAGCUUCCUUUUCGUGGUGCCAAACUAGUUUGGGGUAAUAGAGAUGAAAGCAAGAAAAGAGGCAGACCAACGGGCAGAGAAAAUCAUUAUUUUAACUUUGAGGGAGAAGAUGGUAAGUUUGCUGUGGUGAACUCUUGCAAUGGCUUGAUUUGCUUGUGUGAUAGGGAAAGAGACUAUUUUGUUGUUUGCAACCCAAUUACAGGUGAGUUCAUACGACUUCCACAAACUAGUAGAAUUGGUAAAACUAAUAAAUUCAGUAUCCAAGAGAUAUACGCUGGUUUUGGUUUCCAACCCAAAAAUAAUGAAUAUAAGGUGGUAAGAAUAUUGAGAGGGUUGCAGUUUUAUCAUGGUAUUAUGGCUGCUGAAGUGCACACCCUAGGGACAUCAACAUGGAGGAAUGUUGAAGUUAAUUCUAUGUAUUUUUACAACCUCCGAUUUCCUACUUGUGUUAGUGGGGCACUUCAUUGGAUCGGUUCCUAUCACGGGACUCUAUCAAUAUUGUGUUUCGACUUUGAAAGCGAGAGGUUCCGGUCCUUCCCUACUCCUCCCUGUUUGUAUCAAAGUUGUACUGAGAGCAUAACCAUGGGAGAAUUGAGGGGCUCUCUUUACAUAUGUGAUUCCUUUUCUAAGGGUACUCCCUUUGUAAUGUGGAUUAUGAAGGAAUAUGGUUUCAAAGAAUCGUGGACUAAGAUUUUCAGCUUUGAUACUAUGAGCAGUUAUCGCUGGCCUUUUGGUGGAUUAUAUUGGCCAGUAAAACACUUUAAGAAUGGUUCUGCUAUAUUGAUGUAUCAUUCCUACAAUUUCUUUAUCUACUAUGAACCUGGAAAGGAUGGAUUCAAAAUUUUUAAAGUUCGUGGGACUCAAUCAAGAUUUGAUGUUAUUCCUCAUAUUCCUAGUUUUAUCUCGCUGAAAGAUGUUGUGAAAGGAGACAAUAUUGAGGUGCUGAAUGUGCACUCAAGGUAUGAGGAGUUCAAAUUUAUGGAAGAAAAUGCAGAUCUUUUCUUGGCUAAAGUGAACGACAAAGUGGGAAUAUUAUACACCAUAUCAACUGAUGAUGAAGAAUAGGGUGAAGAACACAACCUUGUACAACUCUCUCCACUCAGAUUUCGUUCUCAUCUUAUGAUUUCAGUUUCUUCUCCUCUCAAAUUUGGAUCGAAGUAAUAGUGGGUCAGGAUGGUUUAAAGAAGAGGUCUUUCCAUUUGCCUUUAACCCUUGAUAAAUUGAAAUAUGCUGACAUCAAAAGCAAGGUAAGGUUGUAAUUAUUUAACACUUCUCCUGCAUUUCAUUUUCUGCGGCUUCUUAUGACUAGAUUUUGUCAUUAUCAACAUGUAAUUAUUUUUGGCGUCUAAAUGAAGGAUGAAUGAGUAGCCCAAGGUUGUAGUUUCAUUUACUUAAGCUGGAAAAUGUAAUGGUGUCAUUUGGCUUGAAUGAUUUCAAGAACUUCUACUUUUCAAUUAGGAUGCCUUUACAUUGAAUUUCUGGUGAGCUAGCUCAGAUUUAGUGUUGAGAUUUUCGGUGGAUAUCAUUUUUACUUGUUCAUUCAAUGAGCAAGUUUUUUUAUCCUGAUUUUACAAAGAUGGAGCUUGAGCACAUUUUCAUUUUAUGUAGGUUGUCAUCCUUGCAAUACAAUAGUUAUUAGACAAGAUUGCAUUUUACGUUCAUUGUUCAAUAUAAAUCAAUUUCUGCGUUACUGGAUUUAA